rnacentral:rRNA from 1 species
GAUGAACGCUGGCGGUGUGCCUAAUACAUGCAAGUCGAGCGAACAGAUGAGGAUCUUGCUCCUCUGACGUUAUCGGCGGACGGGAGAGUAACACGUGUAUAACCUACCUAUAAGACUGGGAUAACUUCGGGAAACCGGAGCUAAUAUCGGAUAAUAAAUUGAACCACAUGGUUCAAUAGUUGAAUACGUUUUUGCUGUCGCAUAUAGAUGGAUCCGCGCCGAAUUAGCUAGUUGGUGAGGUAACGGCAUACCAAGGCAAGGAUGAGUAGCCGACCUGACAGGGUGAUGGGGCAGACUGGAACUGAGACACGGUCCAGACUCCUACGGGAGGCAGCAGUAGGGAAUACUCCGCGCUGGGCGAGAGAAUGACGGAGCAACGGCGCGUGAGUGAUGGAGGUCUUCGGAUCGUAAAACUCUGUUAUUAGGGAAGAACACAUGUGUAAGUAACUAUGCACGUAUUGACGGUACCUAAGGAGAAAGCCACGGCUAACUACGUG